rnacentral:rRNA from 1 species
AUUGAACGCUGGCGGCAGGCCUAACACAUGCAAGUCGAACGGUAACAGGAAGAAGCUUGCUUCUUUGCUGACGAGUGGCGGACGGGUGAGUAAUGUCUGGGAAACUGCCUGAUGGAGGGGGAUAACUACUGGAAACGGUAGCUAAUACCGCAUAACGUCGCAAGACCAAAAAGGGGGACCUUCGGGCCUCUUGCCAUCGGAUGUGCCCAGAUGGGGUUAGCUAGUAGGUGGGGUACCGGCUCACCUAGGCGACGAUCCCUAGCUGGUCUGAGAGGAUGACCAGCCACACUGGAACUGAGACACGGUCCAGACUCCUACGGGAGGCAGCAGUGGGGAAUAUUGCACAAUGGGCGCAAGCCUGAUGCAGCCAUGCCGCGUGUAUGAAGAAGGCCUUCGGGUUGUAAAGUACUUUCAGCGGGGAGGAAGGGAGUAAAGUUAAUACCUUUGCUCAUUGACGUUACCCGCAGAAGAAGCACCGGCUAACUCCGUG